UGAGUGGGGGAUAACUUCGGGAAACCGAGGCUAAUACCGCAUAAUACCGAGAGGUCAAAGGAGCAAUUCGCUUUAGGAGGGGGUCGCGGCUGAUUAGCUAGUUGGUAGGGUAAUGGCCUACCAAGGCAAUGAUCAGUAUCCGGCCUGAGAGGGCGCACGGACACACUGGAACUGAAACACGGUCCAGACUCCUACGGGAGGCAGCAGUGGGGAAUUUUGCACAAUGGGGGAAACCCUGAUGCAGCAACGCCGCGUGGAGGAUGAAGUCCCUUGGGAUGUAAACUCCUUUCGACCGGGACGAUAAUGACGGUACCGGUGGAAGAAGCCCCGGCUAACUCUGUGCCAGCAGCCGCGGUAAUACAGAGGGGGCAAGCGUUGUUCGGAAUUAUUGGGCGUAAAGGGUGUGUAGGCGGUGCGGUAAGUCUUUUGUGAAAUCUCCGGGCUCAACUCGGAGUCUGCAGGAGAAACUGCCGUGCUUGAGUAUGGGAGAGGUGAGUGGAAUUCCUGGUGUAGCGGUGAAAUGCGUAGAUAUCA
rnacentral:rRNA from 1 species